AUUGAACGCUGGCGGCAGGCCUAACACAUGCGAGUCGAGCGGAUGAAGGGAGCUUGCUCCUGGAUUCAGCGGCGGACGGGUGAGUAAUGCCUAGGAAUCUGCCUGGUAGUGGGGGAUAACGUCCGGAAACGGGCGUUAAUACCGCUUACGUCCUGAGCGAGAAAGUGGGGGAUCUUCGGACCUCACGCUAUCAGAUGUGCCUAGGUCGAAUUAGCUAGUUGGUGGGGUAAAGGCCUACCAAGGCGACGAUCCGUAACUGGUCUGAGAGGAUGAUCAGUCACACUGGAAAUGAGACUCCGUACAGACUCCUAGGGGCGGCAGCAGUGCGGUAUAUUGGACGAUGGGCGAAAGCCUGCUCCAGCCAUGCGGCGUGUGUGAAGCAAGUCUUCGAAUUUUAAAACACUUUAAGUGGGGAAGACGGGCAGUAAGUUAAUACCUUGCUGUGUUGACGUUACCAACAGAAUAAGCACCGGCUAACUUCGUG
rnacentral:rRNA from 1 species